GGUUCUUUUAAAAAUAUAUUUUUACACUACAUAUAAUACACUUAUAUAUAUUUUAAGAAACACACAUCUGAUCUGUAGACUGGAGGAACUUCUCUAUUAUCUGCAGUUCUGUAACCCUGCGUUUACCGAGAAACAGGAAGGGAAGCAGAUGAUCUGAACGUUGAACAGACUGUUUACAUAAAGACAGCUUCUCCAGCACUUCCUGUCAGAUUCCCAGUUUGAGGUCAAAGUCGAGGGGAACAUGUUAUUACAGCGUAAAGGUGCUGAUGGUGUGUUUUAUUACACGUUAGAAAACGGGCGACCUGUACGCAGUGAAGGUGUUCAACAACCUGAGCUUCCUGCGGCCGCUGGACGUUCAAAUGAGAGAGUUCGAGGUCCUGAAGAAACUGAACCACAAGAACAUCGUGAAGCUGUUCGCCGUGGAGGAGGAGUCUAACACCCGGCACAAGGUGCUGGUGAUGGAGUAUUGUCCGUGUGGAAGCCUCUACACCGUCCUCGAGGAAUCCUCCAACGCAUACGGAC